UACCGAGGGUGCAAACGUUGCUCGGAAUCAUUGGGCGUAAAGCGCACGUAGGCGGCGCGUUAAGUCGGGUGUGAAAGCCCUGGGCUCAACCCAGGAAGUGCAUUCGAAACUGGCGCGCUUGAAUAUGGAAGAGGGUCGCGGAAUUCCCGGUGUAGAGGUGAAAUUCGUAGAUAUCGGGAGGAACACCAGUGGCGAAGGCGGCGACCUGGGCCAAUAUUGACGCUGAGGUGCGAAAGCGUGGGGAGCAAACAGG
rnacentral:rRNA from 1 species